AGCGGGGCGAGGCACGACCCGGGGCCGUAGGCGGGCUGGCCUUUGCAGCACAGUGGCCGCCAGACGACGGAAAGUUUUUGCAUGCAGCCCUGCCAGCGUGUCCUUCCCUCGCCGGCUCCCCGAGGUCCACCGUGAGACGCCCCCGCGACCCAGUGGGGAGGAGCCGGGCAGAUGUUCUCCUCCCCGUCCCCCGACGAGCACCCCAAGCCAGGGAGGGGACUCUGGUGACCUCUUCGCCCAGCCAGCGCUCCCUUCACCCUUUCUUCUCUGUCACGGUGGACCUUGGACCGUGGAGGAUUCCGGGGAUGCCUUUGGGAGCUGACACCAAUGGGUAGAUGGAAGUGGUUCCAAAAAGCAGGGCAAGAAGAAGGAGCCAUGGGCACAGAAGGCUGGAGGAGAGGGACGCGGAGCAGACCUGGGACCAGGACUGAGCUCCCCAGGUUUGGGGCGCCGGCAGAGAAUGGACAUUUAACCUUCAGGAACCUCUUUGCCAUUGUGGGCUUUCUCCCUCUCACAGACACCCAGUAAGAGUGUGGCAGGGCUGUGAGACCCAGCAUCCAUCGCCAUGAAGAAAAUCCAAGUUCUUUUUCCUUUCAAUGGAUGAAAGCCAAACUAUGUUAUUGGAUGAAUACUAUUUGCAGAAUCAAAGGAAAUAGAUUUAGUUCUUACACAAUGAUCAAGUAAUACGGUCACCUCUUUCUUACUCUCUGAACCCUUUUACAGACCAUUGCUUACCUACUCUAAUGGGAAAGUUCAUCAGUGCUCAGGCACCCAUGCUAGAAAGCUCUUAUUAUUCCCAACUUACAGACGAUGAAAUUAAAGUGCAGAGCAGAAGUAAAAUAAAAUGCAGUUCCCUCCUUCUGGUUUCUUAUAUUCCAAAGUUAUCAAACACCUGGCCAUGGCCAUUGCAUGGGUUGUGCACUGUACAAGUGUGCCACAUUUAAGGGAGUGCCAUUCACAGCACAGACCUCAUGGAUUUAUUGUGACAACUUUCUAGACAGAUGGCAUGAAAGUGGCUUGUUCUAACAGAAUCAGGACCAUAAGACUAUUUUGUAACCCACAGAAGUGAAGUUUCUUGGAAAACAUGUGUCUUCCCCUAAUGCUCAUGAAGGCACUAGAGGACUAGCAGAAAGGAAGAGGAGUUACUGAGGACUUUUUAUAUAUGUUAGCAGUUUCCACUGGGAGUUAUACGGGAAAUACAGUGCCUUGUGUGAUGGAAUAAAUAAAACGAUCUUGCUGUCUCAA